rnacentral:rRNA from 1 species
GACGAACGCUGGCGGCGUGCCUAAUACAUGCAAGUAGAACGCACAGUUUAUACCGUAGCUUGCUACACCAUAAACUGUGAGUUGCGAACGGGUGAGUAACGCGUAGGUAACCUGCCUGGUAGCGGGGGAUAACUAUUGGAAACGAUAGCUAAUACCGCAUAAUAUUGAUUAUUGCAUGAUAAUUGAUUGAAAGAUGCUAUUGCAUCACUACCAGAUGGACCUGCGUUGUAUUAGCUAGUAGGUGAGGUAACGGCUCACCUAGGCGACGAUACAUAGCCGACCUGAGAGGGUGGUCGGCCACACUGGGACUGGGACACGGCCCAGACUCCUACGGGAGGCAGCAGUAGGGAAUCUUCGGCAAUGGACGAAAGUCUGACCGAGCAACGCCGCGUGAGUGAAGAAGGUUUUCGGAUCGUAAAGCUCUGUUGUAAGAGAAGAACGGGUGUGAGAGUGGAAAGUUCACACUGUGACGGUAUCUUACCAGAAAGGGACGGCUAACUACGUG